UACGUAGGUGGCAAGCGUUGUCCGGAUUUACUGGGCGUAAAGAGCGCGCAGGCGGUCGUUCAAGUCGCGUGUGAAAGCCCCCGGCUCAACUGGGGAGGGUCACGCGAUACUGAUCGACUCGAAGGCAGGAGAGGGUAGUGGAAUUCCCGGUGUAGUGGUGAAAUGCGUAGAUAUCAGGAAGAACACCAAUGGCGAAGGCAGCUCUCUGGGACGGUACUGACGCUGAGACGCGAAAGCGUGGGGAGCGAACAGG
rnacentral:rRNA from 1 species